CAGCAGCCGCGGUAAUACGAAGGGGGCUAGCGUUGCUCGGAAUGACUGGGCGUAAAGGGCGCGUAGGCGGAUUGUUUAGUUAGGCGUGAAAUUCCUGGGCUUAACCUGGGGACUGCGCUUAAUACAGGCAGUCUAGAGUGAGGAAGAGGGUUGUGGAAUUCCCAGUGUAGAGGUGAAAUUCGUAGAUAUUGGGAAGAACACCGGUGGCGAAGGCGGCGACCUGGUCCUUUACUGACGCUGAGGCGCGAAAGUGUGGGGAGCAAACAGGAUUAGAUACCCGCGUAGUCCCUGUCUCUUAUAA
rnacentral:rRNA from 1 species